UCUAGUCUGGCACGGUGAAGAGACAUGAGAGGUGUAGAAUAAGUGGGAGGCCCCCGGCGCCCCCCCGGUGUCCCCGCGAGGGGUCCGGGGCGGGGUCCGCCGGCCCUGCGGGCCGCCGGUGAAAUACCACUACUCUGAUCGUUUUUUCACUGACCCGGUGAGGCGGGGGGGUGAGCCCCGAGGGGCUCUCGAACCAUAAAAACCCUAGAAGAAAACCUAGGCAUUACCAUUCAGGACAUAGGCAUGGGCAAGGA
rnacentral:ncRNA from 1 species